CCUACGGGAGGCAGCAGUGGGGAAUAUUGCACAAUGGGGGAAACCCUGAUGCAGCGACGCCGCGUGAGUGAAGAAGUAUUUCGGUACGUAAAGCCCUAUCAGCAGGGAAGAAAAUGCCGGUACCUGACUAAGAAGCCCCGGCUAACUACGUGGCAGCAGCGGCGGUAAUACGUAGGGGGCCAGCGUUAUCCGGAUUUACUGGGGGUUAAGGGGGCGUAGACGGGAGCGCAAGUCUGGAGUGAAAUCCCAUGGCUUAACCAUGGAACUGCUUUGGAAACUGGGCCGCUUGAGUGCAGGAGAGGUAAGCGGAAUUCGUGGUGUAGCGGUGAAAUGCGUAGAUAUUAGGAGGAACACCGGUGGCGAAGGCAGCUUACUGGACUGUAACUGACGUUGAGGCUCGAAAGCGUGGGGAUCGAACAGGAUUAGAUACCCUAGUAGUC
rnacentral:rRNA from 1 species